CCUACGGGUGGCAGCAGUAGGGAAUAUUGCUCAAUGGGGGAAACCCUGAAGCAGCAACGCCGCGUGGUGGAUGAAGGUUUUCGGAUUUUAAACUCCUUUUGUUAGAGAAGAUAGUGACGGUAUCUAACGAAUAAGCACCGGCUAACUCCGGGCCAGCAGCCGCGGUAAUACGGAGGGUGCAAGCGUUACUCGGAAUCACUGGGCGUAAAGCGCGCGUAGGCGGGAUAGCAAGUCAGAUGUGAAAUCCUAUGGCUUAACCAUAGAACUGCAUUUGAAACUGUUCUUCUAGAGUAUGGGAGAGGUAGGUGGAAUUCGUGGUGUAGGGGUAAAAUCCGUAGAGAUCAAGAAGAAUACUCAUUGCGAAGGCGGCCUGCUAGAACAUAACUGACGCUGAUGCGCGAAAGCGUGGGGAGCGAACAGGAUUAGAUACCCUUGUAGUC
rnacentral:rRNA from 1 species